GACGAACGCUGGCGGCGUGCUUAACACAUGCAAGUCGAACGGAAAGACCCUGCUUGCAGGGUGCUCGAGUGGCGAACGGGUGAGUAACACGUGGGUGAUCUGCCCCUUACUUUGGGAUAAGCCUGGGAAACUGGGUCUAAUACUGGAUAGGACCAUGCUGUAGGUGGUGUGGUGGAAAGAUUAGUUUCGGUAAGGGAUGAGCUCGCGGCCUAUCAGCUUGUUGGUGGGGUAAUGGCCUACCAAGGCGUCGACGGGUAGCCGGCCUGAGAGGGUGGACGGCCACAUUGGGACUGAGAUACGGCCCAGACUCCUACGGGAGGCAGCAGUGGGGAAUAUUGCACAAUGGGCGCAAGCCUGAUGCAGCGACGCCGCGUGGGGGAUGACGGCCUUCGGGUUGUAAACUCCUUUCAGCCAUGACGAAGCCCUUGUGGUGACGGUAGUGGUAGAAGAAGCACCGGCUAACUACGUG
rnacentral:rRNA from 1 species